AACGAACGCUGGCGGCAUGCCUAACACAUGCAAGUCGAACGAGACCUUCGGGUCUAGUGGCGCACGGGUGCGUAACGCGUGGGAACCUGCCCUUAGGUUCGGAAUAACUCCCCGAAAGGGGUGCUAAUACCGGAUAAUGUCUUCGGACCAAAGAUUUAUCGCCUUUGGAUGGGCCCGCGUUGGAUUAGCUAGUUGGUAGGGUAAAAGCCUACCAAGGCGACGAUCCAUAGCUGGUCUGAGAGGAUGAUCAGCCACACUGGGACUGAGACACGGCCCAGACUCCUACGGGGGGGAGCAGUGGGGAGUAUUGGACAAUGGGCGAAAGCGUGAUACAGCAAUGCCGCGGGAGUGAGGAAGGCCUUAGGGUUGUAAAGCUGUUUGACCCGGGAUGAUAAUGACAGUACCGGGAGAAUAAGCACCGGCUAACUCCGUG
rnacentral:rRNA from 1 species